CAUAGGGCUGGACAGCUACCCACACAAGAUGCCACUUGCAUGGACUGGUUUUUGCUCAGAUGUGCAGAGAAUAUGUAUACGGAGAAAGAAAUGCAUAUGUGUGCAGGUUGGGGCAUUGUGCCAUGAAGCCUGGAAGAAUUUUCUUUGGAUCCACAAUCUAAAUGGAUUUCCAGGAGGGAGCUGGUCUGAGCACACGCUUUUUCUAUGUGCUACACAUGACCCCAUCCCGCCAGGCAGGUCCUCAGGAGAGCAAUCGGCACCUGCUUCAGCUAUGGCUAGAGCUCGUUGGCCCAUGCGGUGGGCAGAAAACUGAAAUGAGGACAGAGAAGCAUCUCAAAGACUCAAGGAGGAGUUGAGUCUCUCACCACCUUCCUGCAGGUCUUCUGAAUACUUCUGAGCAUAGGAGCCUCUUCCUUCAACAGGCAAGUCAGUAGUUGCUGAGAUACACCACGACACAAGCUUGAGCCAGGGUUGCUAUCAACCAUUAGCUGUCCACUGAGCACUGACUGUGUGCCAUGCAUUGUGCUAAGCACUCUCUCAUUUAAUCCUUACAACAAUCCCAAUGAGGUGGGUGCUACUAUUGCCCGGUUUUUCAGAUGGGGACAGUGAGGACUAAAGUUCUACCACUGGUAACUUGCAGAGUAGAAAUUCAUCCCCUGGGCCAUCUGGCUCUGGCUGUAGUUAUUCAUGGAAGGAGAAAAUUAUGCUAAGUGCGCCUUAAGAAACCAUCAAUGGUGGUCACAAAACCACUUCACUGCCAAGGAUAAAAAUAUGAAGAAAAAAUGAAUGAGUAGUGGUUUUAAUGGGAUAAUUAUGUUAUCCCAUUAUGUCGUAGGAUUAUGUUGUUUGGUUGCCUGGCAUAAGUUAAUUUCCAUAAUGUUUUUCUAUUUCAGUCAAGGCUGUCUUUUUUUUUUCCUCUCUUCUUUUCUAGUGAUGUUUUCCAGGUGUAAAAAGUAGGAAUAUACUACGCAGCUACAUCUAAGAGUCUUUGGCUCUAUUCAAGGGUUUGGUUGUAACUUCACCCCAAAUCUGUUUGGAAAAGAGUGAAGAGUACCUGCUCCAGCUCCAUUCAGAAGAACACCCUGUCACUGGUUCAGUUCAGCAAAUGGGGCUUCUAGAUACUUAACCUUUAAUGGAAAAGUUCUAUGGCUUGGAUUAAAGAAGUCAUAAAGUGCUUAUUUAAUUAUGUUUCAAGCCCAUUUAUCUGGUUUUGAGUCUAAGGAAGAUACACUCUGUCAGAAGGGGUAAAUGAAAGGGGAUUAAUACAUGAUUUUCUUUUUUUUUCCCCCCCGACUCAUCUGAAUGGCUGUUUUCAAGUUGAACUUUUAAAGUAUGGCAUUUGCGAGUGAAAUCGCCCCUUUUAUUUUCAAGUUUUUAUCAAAACCCCACAAAUCAAGAAUUAUCACUUCCAUUCUACAGAUGGAGAAACUGAGACUCAGAGAAACAAGGCUAUCGGCUCACUGAACAAGGGUAGCUCAAAAGCCAACACUCUAGGAAAGUCACAGGAGGCCUCUCAAGGGAACCCACCAAGUCAUUUCCUGGUCAGAAACCUACUCCUACAAAUAAGCUAAGUCCAUCUGCUCCGCCAGACCCACAGUGGCUCAGGCUUAUACUGAACUGAACAGCAGUGGGAGGCAGAUGAAUCUCAGCCUUCGGAGUCUGGCUGUCCAGGGUACCUCGCCCCCUGACUCAGUUCCUGGGGAGCCUGUUCGCAGAGGAACAGCGGAGAUGUUUAUUUCACGGGUGCUUACAAACGUGACUGAUUGAAAACCACUUCUACUCCCACAACCUGGAACGGGUUACUGAUUUUCAGUUCAGCUGUAUAAUGGAAUACCAUGCGAUCACUAGGAAUAAAUCAGAGAUCCUAUACUUUCCAUGUUCAGUGUUAGACUACACAACCAGACAAACCCCUCUGCCUUAUGCAGUCUGGUUUCGUGGUUUGCAGAGGUUUCGUGGCUGAUCUUAAUAUCAGCCUGGGCUGGGGUUGCUCUGCUGCCAUGAGGGCCCCUCAGAGUGGCAUGCAGCGAGGUCAAGUCAAAUAUGCCAAAAAUGCUAACAAGAAUCAACUCUUGGUUGUGAGAGUCUGAGUAACAUAUUACUUUUCACUUUUUUAUCCCAUUUCCAAUGUUUGAAUGUACUUUUUUACUGUAAAAAAAUAAACAUUUAUAAAGAAUCUCUUAGAUAAAGACCAAUAAAAUAAUUUCUGGAUAGGAAGGAAAUAAGACAAAAUGAUAUGCUUGGAUGGUAAGAUCAUAUAUGAUUUUUUUCUCCUUAUGUUUGUAUUUUUCUGAAUUUUCUACAUUUGAUAUAUUUUAUAAUGGUACAUUCACACUUAAGAUGACUUUCUUUUUUUUUUUUAAUGGGUAGAGAGGGGAGAGAUUAUGCUAUUAAAAAGCCAGAACUUCAGGCUCUCCAAAGCCUGUUCAUGUUAAUUGGUUGCCAUUUCAUAAGCCCCUAAAAUGUGUACAUCACUGAACUGGGGGGGUACAGAGGUGAAUGAGAUAUGCAAAUCAUUUAAAUGAGAAAAAUCAUAGUCUAGUUGAGGAAAUAAGACCCUUUCUGAUACAAGAUGUAAGGUCUCACCCUAGAGCUUAGGCUGUCAAAUAAUAAUCAUAAUACUACAGAGGAACUCCUCUCCCUUUCUUAACCAUGUCAGUUCUGAGCCUCAGUUUCCUUUUCUGUAAAUGUAACCUACCUCACAGGGUUACCAUGCAAAUUAAAUGGAGCUGCACAUAAAGGUCUCAGCAAGGUGUUUUGCAAACAGUCCCUCCACACAAAUCACCAUUGCCAACAUGGCUCUGUGUGCCAUGCCUGCUAUUUAGAAGUCAGGCUUGCACGGAUGUGACUGAGCUGGGGUCUGCACCCACUUUUAUCUAACCUCGAAGCUAAUGAUCUUUCCCUAAUCAGCUACUGCAUUUCCCCUUCCAAUUUAACCUACAUUUCUUCUAAACCUCACCCCUUGGUCUUGCAGGGAAGAAAAUCUACAUUUCCAUGAAAAUGUCAAAAGAGAAAUGAAUCUGCUUUAAAGAACAGCGGAAGAAGACGGACUCAUCUCGUGCUGGAUCUUGCAACUUUGUCAUUUUGCAGUUUGUCUCUUGGUUUAAUAGAGUCUGUCCCCAGCCUGUGGUGGUGACACAGCCUUGCUGGGGCAUUCCUGGUUCCCUCGCUGCGAGUGUGUCAAAGGGGGUCCGGUCCAUCCACUCUGGACAGAGGGAAGAGGGUCGUGAACAGAGAGCAAGGGGAAGCAGAGGAGAGGGCCGGUGGGGUCUGGGAGAGCCCCAGGGAGCUCCACAACUAAAGCCAAGAUUUACACCACACCAAUUGCCCAUCGGCUAACUGUGAAGUCUGGGGGAGCUGGGACAAAAACGAUGAGGUGAACUCUUCCACCCCAAGGGGAACAAGGAAAAAGAAUUUCCCCUCUGCUUUGAGGGGACCUUUAUGUCUUUCCCAAACUGGUUAACUCCUUGGGAGACAGUAAAUCAUGAUAGUUUCUCCCUGUCCCUCUAGUCAACUACUUUUCUAAAGGGAAUCUACGUAAGCCCCCCUUUAGCUCAGCCCACGUCUUUCCUUUCCUUUCUGUUCACUCGACUCUGUGCCAGGCACUGCUUGGCACAAGAAGGGAAGGUAAGAACACUGGGAGGACUGUGUGUUGGGAUAAGGAAGGAACAAGGCAAACAUAUUAUGGGACAAGUGCUGUCCUAGGGGCAGGACAACGUGGUAGCUAAUGGGUUGAGGUGGACAGGAAGGGCUUCCAGGGGCACAGGCACUGAGCUAGGUCUUCAGAGACACUGUAAGCAGUCUCCCAGUGGCUCUGAGAGAGGAUGGCAAGUCUAGCAAAGACAUGAGAGUGAUGGAUGUCUCUGCCACGUGCCUGGUGGACAGCAGCAUCUGGAUCACAGAUGUGCACAGAGGAGAUCUGGGGCUAUAAGCCUACUGCACAGGUGAGGUGACCUCCAGAGGCCCUUGACUGAUCUGCUGAGGGACCAGUAAUGAGGGGAAGAGUUGGGUGUGAUGUCUUCCUGGCAGUGGAUGUCCAUGUGGGACAGUAUGAAGAUGUGGUUCUCUUAUCCUCGGUCAUGUCUUCCGUUUGGGGAGAAGAAAUUCUAAAUUUAUAAUUUAAUCAGAUGACUUCAGAAAAACGGUUAUCUGGGUGCUGAGGAAUGGUUCAUUCAUUCAUUCAUUCAUAACAGUUCUUGUGCCUCUGUUUAUAUUUUCUACUGCUGAAGUUUCUGUGGUGGCUACACAGAUUGUUAAGGCUUAGUUCUAAUCUCAAGAAUCUUACAGCUAGGGCACCUUGGAGGCUCAGUUGUUGAACAUCUGCCUUGGGCUCAGGUUGUGAUUCCGGGGUCUGGGAUCAAGUCCCACAUCAAGGCUCCCCAUGAGGAGCCUGCUUCUCCCUCUGCUUAUGUCUCUGCCUCUCUCUGUGUGUCUUUCAUGAAUAAAUAAAUAAAAUCUUAAAAAAAAAAAGGAAUCUUACAGCCAGAAGGAGAGAGAGGUGAGUACUAACACUAUGCUGUUAAUCCAUAAACUGAGCUGGUCACAUUACUGACAUACCACCACUUAAAUGCCUCAAUGGACUUCUAUUUCUCUCAGGAAAAAUACAAACUGUUACUCAGGCUAAAGCAUUCCUAUCUGGUCUUACCUCCUGAGACCCAUCUCCUACCACCUCCCUCCUUUUCCCUCAUUGUCCUUUCAGUGAUCCUCAUUAGAUUACCUUCAACCACAGGCCCUUAACACAUGCUGUUCACUCUGCCACCAUCAUCUCCCCUGGUUCAUGUCCACUUAUCCCUAAGUCCACAUCCAUGUUGCCUCCUCAGGGAGGGCUUUCCGGGUCUACCUGAAUUGACUCUGUCCCUAUGACACAUUCUCAUACUCCACAUAACAUCCUUCAUAACUCUUAUCUCAGUCAUGGUUAUUUUGUAUUUAUUUACAUGAUAACUUUAUCAAUAUCUAUAUUUUCCACCAGACUGUAAGCUCCAAGAGACCAAGAACUGUGUGUUUUCAAAAAAAUCAACUUUACUAAGGCAUAAUUUUUGUACAACAAACACAUGCAUUUCAUAUAUACAUUUCGAUGAGUUUUGACAAGUUUACACAAAAAUGUAUACACUGUGUAAUCACCACUGCAGUCAAGAUAUAGACAAUUUCCAGAAAGUUCCUCUUUGCCUCAUCCUGGUCCACCUGCCCCUGGCCUCAGGUAACCAACUGCUCUGCUUCCUAUCUCUAUAGAUUCACUUUUUCUAGUUUCAUAUAAAGCAAUCAGUAAGCAUUCUGCUGUGUCUGGCUUUUCUUUUUCCAUUCAAUAUAAUGUUUUCAGGAAUCAUCCUUGCUGUGUCUAUCAGUAGUUCAUGGCUUUUCAUUGCUGAAUACUCUUCUCCAUUUGAUUCAUGGAAGUCACCCCUGUCUCUUAAUGAUUCAUCAACUCUUUAAGGGCAGGAGCUGCAUUGUCUGACACCCUGAUACUUGAUGUGGGCCUAGGCACAUAGACAACUUUUAGGAGUGGUGUAGUCCAUUUUCCUGGACCCAAGGCAUGUGAGUGACCACUCUGUACCCACACCCAACAGUCACCUCGACACUCACAGUCUUCCCCUCCAUGUCCACAGGCUGACCUUCUGGGUCAUAGGGGCCCAAAUACAUCUACUUCUCUUCAGAAUCAGUCUGAUGCUUCCCACAGCCAUGGGGAGAAGUCCUGGGUCAGCCACAGAGAUUUGGAAGCAAAGCAGGGUGAUCAUGGGCUGAUUCUUUCAACAUUGUGAACUUUGAUUUCCUCAACUGUUAAAUAGAGACACUGCUGUCUACCUCAUAAGGUCAUUAAGUGGGCACAUAUGUGUGAAAGUGCUGUUUGAACGUGGAGAAUACGAUACUGUAUAGUCAGAGUAAAUUUAAUCAUUUCAUUGAAUUGAUGGUGGUCUGUUACCUUGGACUUAGUAUAUUCAAUUUCUUUUCCCAUCAAAUG